GGGUGCGUAGCUCAGUUGGAUAGAGCAACUGCCUUCUAAGCAGUCGGUCGUGAGUUCGAGUCUCGCCGCACCCG
rnacentral:tRNA from 1 species